GGUGGGUCUAACUUAUUUUAUCUUCAAAAUCCCUUUCAUUUCUCAUAAUCUUGAAAUCACCAUCACAACUAUCAGAUGUAAUUGCUACAACUUCCACCGACGACGACUAUUUCAACCGGGGUAAUCCGUUGGUUUCCAGAAAUGGGAUAUUCAGCUUCAUCUAAUGUCAUUGUAAGUUUCACAUGUAGAUCAUUGAUUCCUGUAUGGAUUUAAUUUUUUUUCUUUUUUUCAUUUUUGGGGUGCAAAUAUGGUGGUUCACAUUGAUAACAGAGUUGUCUGUGCGAUACACGAAAAGAUAAACAGAAGCCGGUGUUGGUUAAUGGCGGGAGCUGUUCCCGGCGAUGAUUCAUCUCGGUGAUUCGUUUUCAAAUUUGAUAUAUGCUUUUUUGAUGGAUUUGUAUAGACAUAGAUUUGAUGUUAAUACUGAGUUGCUACUGUACCGGUUCGAGUUACUACACUAACAUAUGUGAGUGGCACCGAUUUCCAUUCUAGAAUAUGUAUUAAUCCAUUGUCAGUUUGUUAUGUAUCUAUAUUUGUGUUCAUAUGUAUGUGUGGUUUGCUGAAGCAGGAGCAACAAGGAGAAAAAAAUUGUUACU